ACGGAGGAUCCAAGCGUUAUCCGGAUUUAUUGGGUUUAAAGGGUGCGUAGGCGGCAGAUUAAGUUAGAGGUGAAAUUCCGAGGCUCAACCUUGGCACUGCCUCUGAUACUGGUUUGCUAGCGAGUAGAUGCUGUAGGCGGAAUGUGUGGUGUAGCGGUGAAAUGCAUAGAGAUCACACAGAACACCGAUUGCGAAGGCAGCUUACAAAUCUAUAUCGGACGCUGAGGCACGAAAGCGUGGGGAGCAAACAG
rnacentral:rRNA from 1 species